rnacentral:rRNA from 1 species
CCUACGGGAGGCAGCAGUGGGGAAUAUUGGGCAAUGGGCGCAAGCCUGACCCAGCAACGCCGCGUGAAGGAAGAAGGCUUUCGGGUUGUAAACUUCUUUUAAGAGGGAAGAGCAGAAGACGGUACCUCUUGAAUAAGCCACGGCUAACUACGUGCCAGCAUCCGCGGUAAUACGUAGGUUGCAAGCGUUGUCCGGAUUUACUGGGUGUAAAGGGCGUGCAGCCGGGAAGACAAGUCAGAUGUGAAAGCCCGCGGCUCAACCGCGGAACUGCAUUUGAAACUGUUUUUCUUGAGUACCGGAGAGGUCAUCGGAAUUCCUUGUGUAGCGGUGAAAUGCGUAGAUAUAAGGAAGAACACCGGGGGCGAAGGCGGAUGACUGGACGGCAACUGACGGUGAGGCGCGAAAGCGUGGGGAGCAAACAGGAUUAGAUACCCCGGUAGUC